CGGCUCUCAUUGGAGAGAAGCUGCCGUCGUCCGGAUUGGACGAGCCGCGCUCUCCCCGCCCCCCGGGGCCGGAUCGCAACCAAUCCUGGGUAGCUUGCGCGCGCGCCCCACAUGCAGGGCGGGAAAGAGGGGGAAGUUCUUUGUUCUCGCGCUGUUUAGAAGAAGGCGGGAGUUACCUCUGUUCCUCUUUUCAAAUGUGUUCUCUUCGCUGGGCGCUGUUUCCUGGGACUGGGACUGAGUGUGAGAAGCUCCCCUCGGCUGUGCGUCAAAAAAAGGCAAAAAAAGGGAAGUGGCUGGCCCGCCUCUGGCCCGGUUCAAGGAGGUUGGGCGGGCAGCCGUUAACGGUUCUAACAGCCGUGGCUGCCUUUGCGCGCGGGGGGAGGGGGAGUCUAGCCGCCCCUCAGGCGGGGCUCUGCACCCGGCCCCUCCGCCGCCGCCUGUUGCUGGGUGGGGAAGGGACGCCUCUUCUCCUUCAGGAGCCGCGUCUCCACAAACAGUCCGGUCUGGUUUAGUUUAGGUGUGUCUCUCUGCUGCUGUUGUUAGGAGCCACCAUUGUUGUGGUGGUACCGAACCAUCUUGAAUCCGACUCCCAAAGAACGACCUAGAAUGUGUGGCGUGCGGAUUCAUUCAUUCUUUCUUCCCCUUAAUGUUUAGUUUUUCACUGAGCGCUCAUCAAUCAAACCUCAUGGCGUUCUGCACAUUAUUACAGUAGAGUCUCACUUAUCCAACACUCGCUUAUCCAACGUUCUGGAUUAUCCAACGCAUUUUUGUAGUCAAGGUUUUCAAUAUAUCGUGAUAUUUUGGUGCUAAAUUCGUAAAUACAGUAAUUACAACAUAACAUUACUGCGUUUUGAACUACUUUUUCUGUCAAAUUUGUUGUAUAACAUGAUGUUUGGGUGCUUAAUUUGUAAAAUCAUAAUCUAAUUUGAUUUUAAAUAGGCUUUUCCUUAAUCCCUCCUUAUUAUCCAACAUAUUCACUUAUCCAACGUUCAGCUGGCCCGUUUAUGUUGGAUAAGUGGGACUCUACUGUAUUAUUAUAUUUAUGUAUACCAAUGAUGGGCAACCUUUUGCGCUUGGUGUGUCAAAAUUCACCAAAAAACCUAGCAUGACUUGGGUGGUGUGUCACUUCGAGAAAAAAAACCAUAAUUUCGUAAUAUGUAUAGUUUAAAUAACAAAAAUAUAUAAUUGUAAUAUAUAACUGUAUUUAAUAAAUCAUAACAAUUUACUACCAUUAUUUCCAUGUACAACAAUCUGUGGUACCUCUUGCAGUUUCCAUGCUGAUUUCUCUAUUCUAGUUUCAAUGUAGUCACGAAUAAUGAAUAAUGUAAUAGUAAUAAUAGGAUAAUAUACAAUAAUAAUAGAAUGAUGUAAUGUGCAUAAUUCCUAUGGAGUAAACAACAAAACCACUUGUUGAAAUCACACCAAAUUUGGCCACAAAAGACAGAGUCAUCCAAUCAAUCUGCAUGCAGCAGCGUGUCAGCAAAAAUUGCUAGACGUGUCACUGCUGACAUGCGUGUCAUAGGUUAGCCAUCACUGAUGUAUACCCUGCUUUAUCUCCCCCGAGUGACUUAAUGUUGCACUCGAGUCCUGAGACACCUUAUUCACCACAAACCACACACUGUUUGAACAAUCCAAUAAGUAAAAGUUUAUUAAGAAAAGAGUAUAUGAUAAGCAAAGCUUAAAAAGAGAAUCAAAGUUAUUUCCAAGAUAGCCAAGAGUCCCAAAAGCUGGGUUGCUGUCAGUCUUCCGAGCUGUAUGGCCAUGUUCCAGAAGCAUUCUCUCCUGACCUUUUGCUCACAUCUAUGGCAGGCAUCCUCAGAGGUUUUGAGGUCUUUUGGAAACUAGGAAAGUGGGGUUUAUAUAUCUGGAAUGUCCAGAAUGGGAGAAAGAACUCUUGUCUGUCUGAGGCAAGUGUGAAUGUUGCCAUUGACCACCUUAUUUAUUUAUUUCCAUCAUUUCUAUCCCGCCCUUCUUACCCGAAGGGACUCGGGGCGGCUUACAAAACUGGCAGAAUUCGAUGCCAAUAUAUAACAAUACAAAAAAAUAAAACAUAAGCAAUUAAAAACAGAUUUAAAAUAAUACAAAAUACUUGAGCCAUUCAUCCACAAAACCUUGUACAUAAACCUUAGUCCAGACCAAGUCGAAGCCAACGAAACUUAUUCUUUGAACGCUUACUUGCAUAGCCAGGUCUUCACUUUCUUUCUAAAACUCAAAAGGGAUGGAUCCUGCUGGAUGUCACUAGGGAGGGAGUUCCACAGCCAAGGAGCCACCACUGAGAAAGCCCUGUCUCAUUGAAUAGCCUUGCAAUGUCAAAGCCUGGCUGCUUCCUGCACUGAGUGCUGUUGCACUAAUCAAAACGGGAUGUAACCAAAUAAUGUACAGUAGAGACUUGCUUAUCCAACCUUCGCUUAUCCAACAUUCUGUAUUAUCCAGUGCAGUCUGCUUCCCGCCCAGAUCCACAGCUGUUUUUCUAGGCAGCAACGCACAGCAGGCCAACACGCCCAACAACAACACAAGUGCAGUCACACUCCCAAACUAGUGACAGACUUGUUGUAAAACAUGAUGUUUUGGUGCUUAAUUUGUAAAAUCAUAACAUAAUUUGACAUUCAAUAGUCUUUUCCUUAAUCCCUCCUUACUGUUCAACAUUUUUGCUUAUCCUACAUUCUGCCAGCCCAUUUAUGUUGGAUAAGUGAGACUCUACUGUACUACCGUGGCCAAGUCUGACUUUCUUAGAUGGAGUAGCUCUCCUUGCGGCUCUUUCUGCGCUUCUUGUCCCCCUUCUUCUGGGUCUUGGUCACUGCCUUCUUCAACCCCUUCUUGGCUGCAGGCGCUGAUUUCUUAUGAAUGGUUGUAACUGACUUAUCAGUUUUAACUGAGCAAAGGCUCAGUUAUUUAACUGAGCAAAGGCUUGGUUAUUUCUGCCACCUGGGCUUCCAGGUUUAGGGCAGAGUCCAGAACUACCUCCAAGCAGCAAACCUGUGAUUUCAGGGAGAGUGACCACAUCCAGCACAAGUGGUGUCACUAUUCCUGGGUCUGUCAUAUGGGAGACCAGGAGUACCUCCGUCUUGUAUGGAUUAAGCUUCAACUUGUAAGCCCUUAUCCAAUCCAAUCCAUGACAGCCGAUAGACACCAGUUUAGGUCCUCAGCAUCUUCCUUUAGCCGUUGGUGAAAAGAAGUGAUAAGAGUUGAGCGUCAUUCACAUAUAAAUGACACAGAACCUGUCAUUUCCACAGGGCUUUGUUUUGGACAUCUUCAGGUCUCAUGUUGGCAGCACACAUGUGCUGGUGUCCAUCCUUUCUUUGACUGCCCACAUGGUCGUCAUCCUGCAAUCUCCAAAUGCAGUACUGUUUACACUAGAGAUGUUGGUUCUCUUCUCAUGACAUGGCCGUACUACCUUAGUCUUGCUUCCUACAUUUUCUUGCUAUUCCUAGUCUUUGACGGAUGUCAUCAUUUGGCACAUGGACAAGAAGUGUCAGGCCAAGUGUCCAUCUCAGCAUUUUCAUUUCCACACCGUCUUUCAGGGGGAAUGUAACCCUAUCCAAAACUAGUUGACAUGGCUCCACCCCCAGAUUAGGACCCUUUAUGACAAGCACCUUUGUUUUGUUUGGAUUCAGUUUCAAUUUGUUUUUUCUCAUCCUGUCCAUUACCUCCUCCAGGAAUUCAUUCAGAGGAAACAUGCUAUCCUUGGCUGAAAGUGUUUUUGAAGGCACGGAGAAAUAUAUUUGGGUGUCACCAGCAUACUGAUAAUACCCCACCCCAUGCCUACAGUUGAUUUUUCCCAGUAUUAAAGAGGCAUCUUGUGGGAUACCAAUACUUUUUUUAGGAGCAGCUAUCCUCAAUCACCACCAUCUGGAACCUGCCUGAAAGGUAAAAGUCUUCAGUAGCAGCAUACCUUUAUCAUCUGUGCAGUAAUAACAAGUAUUAGCUAUGGUUCCACUGCUGUUGUCUCUGAGUGAUUCUCCAGAAGUGUAACUCUCCACUAUUGCUGCUGGUCAGUAGCUGUUUGGCACAUUAAGCCUGACUCCCCAGUAAAAGUGUAUCUGACACCAGAGACUCUAGCAGCAGCAUUGCUGUCAUUGGCAAUGGGAGAAGUAUUUUGACAGACCAAAGUGCUUGUUUGACUGAUUUCGUGAUUUUACAAAGAUUACACCUGAAACCACCAGCAAAUCCAUCAUCUGUCUCCAUAACUGAAUUAUUCUGUGUCUGGAUUUUUGUGCCACUGUGGUAUCAGAAAUAAAAGGCUGUAGAGCAUGGA